rnacentral:sRNA from 1 species
AAAAAAAGAAGAGAAAUAAAA